rnacentral:snRNA from 1 species
AUUGUUUCUCGGCCUUUUGGCUAAGAUCUAGUAUAGUAUUUGUUCUUAUCAGUUACUUGCUUGAGAUAUGCACCAACCAGAAAGAUCUUCCUUUGAGAUUGACUUGUGUAUGCAGCGCCACGACUGAAUCUCCCCAUAA